rnacentral:lncRNA from 1 species
CAAAAAUCAUUUUAAAAACAAAAAAUAAAGUAAACAUGCUCAUCUUGAUGGCAGUGUUAGAACUUGGAACCUAGAUAACCAGGAGUUCCAAUAUGAGUCCUUGGUCACCAUUGGCUCUGCCUUCCACCCUCUCUAUUUCUUCCCUCUUUUCCUAUCCCCGUCCCCCAGGCUCCCUGAUUCCUUUCACCCAUGUGUCUGCUGCUUUCCAUAAUACGGACAUCUUGGUCCAAACAUGAAGUCAAAACUCAGAACUACCCACCUGCCAGCCACUAAUAUUUGGUUAAAACUCCAGAUGGAGAAGCAUAGCCAAGAGGAGGAUGCUGUUGGAAUUCAGAGGUUUGCAACAAGAGAAACAUCAUCCUAUCUAAUGCUCAACUCUCUCAAGUGCCUGGAACCACAAAUGAUAUUGAUUUGUUUUGUUUUCCGGUUUUAUUUCAUAAUCCUCUCAUUCACAAGGCUCAGGUAUGGUGUCCAG